UACGGAGGAUCCGAGCGUUAUCCGGAUUUAUUGGGUUUAAAGGGUGCGUAGGCGGCCUGUUAAGUCAGGGGUGAAAGACGGUAGCUCAACUAUCGCAGUGCCCUUGAUACUGAUGGGCUUGAAUAUACUAGAGGUAGGCGGAAUGUGACAAGUAGCGGUGAAAUGCAUAGAUUUGUCACAGAACACCAAUUGCGAAGGCAGCUUACUAUGGUAUAAUUGACGCUGAGGCACGAAAGCGUGGGGAUCAAACAGG
rnacentral:rRNA from 1 species